GAUGAACGCUGGCGGCGUGCUUAACACAUGCAAGUCGAACGAAGCACUUUAACCUGAUUCUUCGGAUGAAGGUUUUUGUGACUGAGUGGCGGACGGGUGAGUAACGCGUGGGUAACCUGCCUCAUACAGGGGGAUAACAGUUAGAAAUGACUGCUAAUACCGCAUAAGACCACAGAGCCGCAUGGCUCGGUGGGAAAAACUCCGGUGGUAUGAGAUGGACCCGCGUCUGAUUAGGUAGUUGGUGGGGUAACGGCCUACCAAGCCAACGAUCAGUAGCCGACCUGAGAGGGUGACCGGCCACAUUGGGACUGAGACACGGCCCAAACUCCUACGGGAAGCAGCAGUGGGGAAUAUUGCACAAUGGGGGAAACCCUGAUGCAGCGACGCCGCGUGAGCGAAGAAGUAUUUCGGUAUGUAAAGCUCUAUCAGCAGGGAAGAAAAUGACGGUACCUGACUAAGAAGCACCGGCUAAAUACGUG
rnacentral:rRNA from 1 species